UAGUGACAGAGAGAGGGAGGGGGUGACUAGUGACAGAGUGAGGGAGGUGGUGAUUAGUGACAGAGGGAGGGAUGGGGCGACUAGUGACAGUCACCACCUCCUUCACUCUGUCACUGUGUCACCCGCUCCCUCACUCUGUCACUGU